GGCGGACGGGUGAGUAAUGCCUAGGAAAUUGCCCUGAUGUGGGGGAUAACCAUUGGAAACGAUGGCUAAUACCGCAUGAUGCCUACGGGCCAAAGAGGGGGACCUUCGGGCCUCUCGCGUCAGGAUAUGCCUAGGUGGGAUUAGCUAGUUGGUGAGGUAAGGGCUCACCAAGGCGACGAUCCCUAGCUGGUCUGAGAGGAUGAUCAGCCACACUGGAACUGAGACACGGUCCAGACUCCUACGGGAGGCAGCAGUGGGGAAUAUUGCACAAUGGGCGCAAGCCUGAUGCAGCCAUGCCGCGUGUGUGAAGAAGGCCUUCGGGUUGUAAAGCACUUUCAGUCGUGAGGAAGGUAGUGUAGUUAAUAGCUGCAUUAUUUGACGUUAGCGACAGAAGAAGCACCGGCUAACUCCGUGCCAGCAGCCGCGGUAAUACGGAGGGUGCGAGCGUUAAUCGGAAUUACUGGGCGUAAAGCGCAUGCAGGUGGUUUGUUAAGUCAGAUGUGAAAGCCCGGGGCUCAACCUCGGAAUUGCAUUUGAAACUGGCAGACUAGAGUACUGUAGAGGGGGGUAGAAUUUCAGGUGUAGCGGUGAAAUGCGUAGAGAUCUGAAGGAAUACCGGUGGCGAAGGCGGCCCCCUGGACAGAUACUGACACUCAGAUGCGAAAGCGUGGGGAGCAAACAGGAUUAGAUACCCUGGUAGUCCACGCCGUAAACGAUGUCUACUUGGAGGUUGUGGCCUUGAGCCGUGGCUUUCGGAGCUAACGCGUUAAGUAGACCGCCUGGGGAGUACGGUCGCAAGAUUAAAACUCAAAUGAAUUGACGGGGGCCCGCACAAGCGGUGGAGCAUGUGGUUUAAUUCGAUGCAACGCGAAGAACCUUACCUACUCUUGACAUCCAGAGAACUUUCCAGAGAUGGAUUGGUGCCUUCGGGAACUCUGAGACAGGUGCUGCAUGGCUGUCGUCAGCUCGUGUUGUGAAAUGUUGGGUUAAGUCCCGCAACGAGCGCAACCCUUAUCCUUGUUUGCCAGCGAGUAAUGUCGGGAACUCCAGGGAGACUGCCGGUGAUAAACCGGAGGAAGGUGGGGACGACGUCAAGUCAUCAUGGCCCUUACGAGUAGGGCUACACACGUGCUACAAUGGCGCAUACAGAGGGCAGCCAACUUGCGAAAGUGAGCGAAUCCCAAAAAGUGCGUCGUAGUCCGGAUUGGAGUCUGCAACUCGACUCCAUGAAGUCGGAAUCGCUAGUAAUCGUGAUCAGAAUGCCACGGUGAAUACUUUCCCGGGCCUUGUACACACCUACCCA
rnacentral:rRNA from 1 species